ensembl:lncRNA
AUGAUGGCGCUUCGUCUCCUCUCUACACUGAUCCUGCUCUCUGCCAGCGGCUCUGUCUGUGGACUGAUGAUCUCUGAGGUUUUGGGAAACGAUGUUAAAUUCCCUUUGAGCGCGUCAUGUGGAGCAGAGAAGACUCAGCUUCUGUUUAUCUCUGCUAGAGAUCCGUCCCCCCGGCUGGUAGCGUCUCGGACUGGAGCUCAGGUCUCUCCUGGACCACUUUACACUGACAGACUGAACCACAGCGACUCUCUUCUCCUCCUGAAACACGUGAGGAUGAACGACGCCGGACUCUACGAGCUGACAUGUAACGACCGUGUAGAGACUCUGAUGGAGCUGCAGCUCUUCUUCCCGGUGGAAACGGUCUCUGCUGAGGGGCAAACCGUGGAUCUCCCGUGUCAUUCCGUUACACUCGGUAGAUCCGUGGAGAGUGUGAAGUGGGAGAAGAGCAGCGGACAGGUGGUGCUGGAGGUGGACGGACUCUCUGGAAGCUGGACUCCGGGGGAAGAGUUUCAAGGAAGCCGGCUGUCAGUGUCCAGGGACUGGAAGGAAACAGGGGACUUGUCGCUCCGGAUGGAGGUGAAGCAGGAACACGGAGGACUUUUCUUCUGCUCGGUAACAGAAGGCAGAGUGAAGACCUUGAAGGCAGCAGUGAGGCUGACAGUCAGACCGAACAUCACGGAUCCAGAGAGCAGCGAGACCAGCGAGCAGCCUCAGGAGUCACACUGUGCUGAGCUUUAUUGGCAUAAACUCUUCAUCACAGCAGCAGUUGUCCUGAGCCUCAUUCUGCUUAUGUUCAUGGCUGCUGCUGGAUGUUUUCUGAAAAGAAUCAGGCGAGCUGUUCUGAAGGCGUCGUCACAAGACAGAAAGAAAGAAGACGAGAGCAACACAGAUGGAAUUCCUCUGAACCCAAGAGAGGCUGAAGAAGGUCUGUCCUCUUCAGGAUCAGACACCAAAGAGAAAACCUGCUGGAGGACCAGAGAGAGUCUCUGAUUUCUACUCCUGAUCUUUCAAUUCGUUUCAAUUUCAAUUCAGCUUCAUUUAUACUGUGUCAAACACAACAGUCAUUUCUAGACACUUUGUCAGAGAAAUAGAGAGUGACUGGUGGCAAUUACACACACACACACACACACACACACACACACACUCACACACCUGUAAACUACAUUUUCUAUUUUUAUGAACUUGUAGCAAGUUUUUUUUAUCAAUUGACAAAAAUGUUUUAAAUAAUGUUUGUAUUUCUCCUGAUAAAUAAGAUGGAGAAUCACACUGUCUAAUAGUGAAAUACAUCCAAAAUACACAAAACUAUUGAAAUGAUUCAUAAAGAAUAACUUAUGACCUGGUAUUGUUGAUAAACUCUUGUGUCACUGGGAAAAUGUUACGAUAUAAGAGGAGAGUUACAGUUUAAAACUCAUGAAGUCCACACCACUCUGAAAGGUUUUUGUGUCUCAUAUUGUGGUGUAAAAAGAUGGAACAAAUUCUUUGUGGAGACCAGACAUUUGUCAAAUGAGUUUCAAUUCAAAAAGAGAUGUAAAGAGCUGAUUCUGGGAGGUUUGGUGAUGAUAUGAUGAGGGCCGUUAAUUCAUGGUUCUGUUUGUACUGAAAGUGAUGAUGAUUAUAAAGCUAUACUGUUUUGUAAAUUAAGAUCAGGCAAUAAUGUGAAGCGGUAUGAUUGAAUAAGAACUUCUUCUUCCUUUUUGGGCAUGCGAAAAGCACGGUAUGGUGUGGACUUUUCAUGUUUCUCAAUUUGAUGUUUUUUCUAUCUUUUUUGGCUGUUCACCUUUUUUAUUACAUGUUUGAAAUAAAGCUUCUCAAACUAAACUAUUCACAGUAUGUAGAAGAAAUUGAUUCGGUCCAGACGCUGGCCUUCCCACCACUGAG